rnacentral:rRNA from 1 species
CGCAAGCCUGAUCCAGCAACGCCGCGUGGAGGACGAAGGUCUUCGGAUCGUAAACUCCUGUCAGGCGGGACGAAGGUUUCCGGGCGAACAGUCCGGAAGCUUGACGGUACUGCCAGAGGAAGCCCCGGCUAACUCCGUGCCAGCAGCCGCGGUAAUACGGAGGGGGCUAGCGUUAUUCGGAAUUAUUGGGCGUAAAGGGCGCGUAGGCGGCCCGGUAAGUCAAAGGUGAAAUCCCUCGGCUCAACUGAGGAACUGCCUUUGAAACUGUCGGGCUUGAGGCCGGGAGGGGGUAGCGGAAUUCCCAGUGUAGCGGUGAAAUGCGUAGAUAUUGGGAGGAACACCGGUGGCGAAGGCGGCUACCUGGACCGGUUCUGACGCUGAUGCGCGAAAGCGUGGGUAGCAAACAGGAUUAGAUACCCUGGUAGUCCACGCUGUAAACGAUGAGUGCUCGGUGUCGCGGGUAUCGACCCCUGCGGUGCCUUAGCUAACGCGUUAAGCACUCCGCCUGGGGAGUACGGUCGCAAGGCUG